CCUACGGGAGGCAGCAGUAGGGAAUUUUCGUCAAUGGGGGGAACCCUGACCGAGCAACGCCGCGUGAACGAAGAAGUUAUUCGUAAUGUAAAGUUCUUUUAAUAGGGAAGAAAGAGAAAUUUGACGGUACCUGAAGAAUAAGCCCCGGCUAACUACGUGCCAGCAGUCGCGGGAAUACGUAGGGAUCGAGCGUUAUCCGGAAUUAUUGGGCGUAAAGGGUGCGUAGAUGGCAUAGUAAGUCUUUGGUAAAAGUGCUGGGCUCAACCCAGUAGGGCAAAAGAUACUGCAAGGCUAGAGUAUGACAGAGGCAUGUGGAACUAGAGGUGUAGCGGUGAAAUGCGUAAAUAUAUGUAAGAACACCAGUGGCGAAGGCAGCUUGCUGGGUCGAUACUGACAUUGAGGCACGAAAGCGUGGGGAGCGAACAGGAUUAGAUACCCGGGUAGUC
rnacentral:rRNA from 1 species